GUGGGGAAUUUUGGACAAUGGGCGCAAGCCUGAUCCAGCCAUGCCGCGUGUGUGAAGAAGGUCUUCGGAUUGUAAAGCACUUUAAGUUGGGAGGAAGGGCAGUAAGUUAAUACCUUGCUGUUUUGACGUUACCGACAGAAUAAGCACCGGCUAACUUCGUGCCAGCAGCCGCGGUAAUACGAAGGGUGCAAGCGUUAAUCGGAAUUACUGGGCGUAAAGCGCGCGUAGGUGGUUUUGUAAGUUGGAGGUGAAAUCCCCGGGCUCAACCUGGGAACUGCCUCCAAAACUGCAUGACUAGAGUACGGUAGAGGGUAGUGGAAUGUCCUGUGUAGCGGUGAAAUGCGUAGAUAUAGGAAGGAACACCAGUGGCGAAGGCGACUACCUGGACUGAUACUGACACUGAGGUGCGAAAGCGUGGGGAGCAAACAGGAUUAGAUACUCUUGUAGUCC
rnacentral:rRNA from 1 species